GACCUCAAAUCAGGUAGGACUACCCGCUGAACUUAAGCAUAUCAAUAAGCGGAGGAAAAGAAACUAACAAGGAUUCCCCUAGUAACUGCGAGUGAAGCGGGAAAAGCUCAAAUUUAAAAUCUGGCGGUCCCUGUGGCCGUCCGAGUUGUAAUUUAGGGAAGUGUUAUCCGCGCUGGACCGUGUACAAGUCUCCUGGAAUGGAGCGUCAUAGAGGGUGAGAAUCCCGUCUUUGACACGGACUGCCAGGGCAUUGUGAUACGCUCUCAAAGAGUCGAGUUGUUUGGGAAUGCAGCUCAAAAUGGGUGGUAAAUUCCAUCUAAAGCUAAAUAUUGGGGAGAGACCGAUAGCGAACAAGUACCGUGAGGGAAAGAUGAAAAGAACUUUGGAAAGAGAGUUAAACAGUACGUGAAAUUGCUGAAAGGGAAACGC
rnacentral:rRNA from 1 species